rnacentral:lncRNA from 1 species
AUGGAGAGAUGCUCCAUCUCUCCUGUCAAACGACUGACCACCCACCGCUGCCUUUUCUUUCUCCUGGUUGCCGCGGUGACGCGACCCUCAACCUGUAACCGUGACGACGAGGGCGAGGGGCAGGUGGAGGCCUUCUCAGCCCAGCUGUCCAUCACAGGACAGGUCACACCCACCCCUAUUUGGUCCGUGGACUGGGGCCCCACACUAGCCCUGGAGGACGAGACGCAUCACUUCCUGUCCAGCCAGGAAGCGGACCUGUACCACCAUGGCCACGAAGUCCCCACGACAACCGCUGAGGCCUGGCUGCAUCAUCAGAGUGCACCGGGCAGCGUUUUGCCCCAGGAGCCCCUGGAUCUGCUGGAGGCCCCGGACGCAGAGGGAGUGGAGGAUGGAGGAAGUGAGGCGGAGGAGAGAGAGCCUGAGGAAGGUGGGCACCAUAGAAAUCAGUAAAGAUUAAAGAAAGAAAGGAUUUGUGUUGGUGGGCAUGAGAAUAGAGUGUUUUGGAACAAAGACAUCAGAAGAACUCUGAGGGCAUCAGGGAGUAACUUCAAUUCCCACUGGGCUGGCUUUGUGUGGAUGGAUGGCUGUGUCUUGGUGGUGGAGAAUGCUUAAUAGAGUUUUCUGAACUCACAAAAACACACCAAAAGGAAAUGGGUGACAUCACACACCAAGCAAUGGAAUGGAUGACUUCAUCGGCUCAUUCUCCUUUGAGUUUCUUUACUGACAGUAUGGGAAUUCUCGAAAAGUUUUUUUCUUACAUCAUUGCAGUUGACCUGGGUUAUAUUCAUAAGGCACCAAACGGAAGAGAAAUAACUGAAACAGGGAUGGUCUACCUGGACUUGUCCAAUAAGAAACGCACAUUUUUGUUUUUGGUUGCAAAACAUUUCAAAGCGUUUUCCGUUACAUGCUCUAAUGCACAUGACACUGCUUUUCUUCUAUUGUGCUUCUAUUGUGCUGAUUUCCAACCAUGUGAACGGUAACUCCUCUGUGUGUGUGUGUGUGU